rnacentral:misc_RNA from 1 species
CACGGGUUCAAAGAGUCGGCUUUGGAUGCUCUCACCGAUGUUGCAAUUCGUUACCUCCUUGACCUUGGCAAGACUGCAAACUCUCACGCUAAUUUAUCAGGUAGAACUCAAUGUAAUUUAUUUGACAUAGUUCGAGGAUUUGAAGACAUGGGUGCACCACGAGGGUUUUCGGGUGCAUCAAAUUCUGGCAAUUGUGUUGUUAGUUCGGGUACCAUUAAGGAGAUAAUUGAAUUUGUGGGUUCUACUGACGAGAUCCCUUUUGCUCAACCAGUGCCG